rnacentral:rRNA from 1 species
GACGAACGCUGGCGGCGUGCUUAACACAUGCAAGUCGAACGGUAAGGCCCUUCGGGGUACACGAGUGGCGAACGGGUGAGUAACACGGGGGUGAUCUGCCCUGCACUUCGGGGUAAGCCUGGGAAACUGGGUCUAAUACCGGAUAGGACUCCUGGCUUCAUGGUUGGGGGUGGAAAGCUUUUGCGGUGUGGGAUGGGCCCGCGGCCUAUCAGCUUGUUGGUGGGGUAAUGGCCUACCAAGGCGACGGCGGGUAGCCGGCCUGAGAAGGUGACCGGUCACACUGGGACUGUGAUACGGCCCAGACUCCUACGGGAGGCAGCAGUGGGGAAUAUUGCACAAUGGGCGCAAGCCUGAUGCAGCGACGCCGCGUGAGGGAUGACGGCCUUCGGGUUGUAAACCUCUUUCAGCACCGACGAAGCGCAAGUGACGGUAGGUGCAGAAGAAGGACCGGCCAACUACGUGCCAGCCGCCGCCGUAA